AGCGCAGGCGGCUCGAUUAGUCUGGAGUGAAAGCCCGGGGCUUAACCCCGGACGGGUCUUCGGAUACUGUCGAGCUCGAGUACGGAAGAGGAGAGUGGAAUUCCAGGUGUAGCGGUGAAAUGCGUAGAUAUCUGGAGGAACACCGGUGGCGAAAGCGGCUCUCUGGUCCGAUACUGACGCUCAGGCUCGAAAGCGUGGGGAGCAAACGGGAUUAGAUACCCCGGUAGUCCACGCCGUAAACGUUGUGCGCUAGGUGUGGGAGGUAUCGACCCCUCCCGUGCCGCAGCUAACGCAUUAAGCGCACCGCCUGGGGAGUACGGUCGCAAGACUGAA
rnacentral:rRNA from 1 species